GAUGAACGUUAGCUACAGGCUUCACUCAUGCAAGUUCGAGGGGCAGCACGGUCUUAUCUCGCUAACGCCGAUGGCGACCGGCGCACGGGCGAGUAACACGUAUCCAACCUGCCGUCUACUCUCGGACACCUCUUUCUGAAAGGAAGAUUAAUACAAGAUGGCAUCAUGACUCCGCAUGUUCACAUGAUUAAAGGUAUUCCUGUACACGAUGGGGAUGCGUUCCAUUACAUAGUAUGCGGGGUAACGGCCCACCUAAUCUUCUAUGGAUAGGGGUUCUGAGAUGAACGUCCCCCACAUUGGAACUGAGACACGGUCCAAACUCCUACGGGAGGCAGCAGUGAGGAAUAUUGGUCAAUGGGCGAGAGCCUGAACCAGCCAAGUAGCGUGAAGGAUGACUGCCCUAUGGGUUGUAAACUUCUUUUAUAAAGGAAUAAAGUCGGGUAUGGAUACCCGUUUGCAUGUACUUUAUGAAUAAGGAUUCGGCUAACUCCGUGCCAGCAUCCGCGGUAAUACGGAGGAUUCCGAGCGUUAUCCGGAUUUAUUGGGUUUAAAGGGAGCGUAGAUGGAUGUUUAAGUCAGUUGUGAAAGUUUGCGGCUCAACCGUAAAAUUGCAGUUGAUACUGGAUAUCUUGAGUGCAGUUGAGGCAGGCGGAAUUCGUGGUGUAGCGGUGAAAUGCUUAGAUAUCACGAAGAACUCCGAUUGCGAAGGCAGCCUGCUAAGCUGCAACUGACAUUGAGGCUCGAAAGUGUGGGUAUCAAACAGGAUUAGAUACCCUGGUAGUCCACACGGUAAACGAUGAAUACUCGCUGUUUGCGAUAUACUGCAAGCGGCCAAGCGAAAGCGUUAAGUAUUCCACCUGGGGAGUACGCCGGCAACGGUGAAACUCAAAGGAAUUGACGGGGGCCCGCACAAGCGGAGGAACAUGUGGUUUAAUUCGAUGAUACGCGAGGAACCUUACCCGGGCUUAAAUUGCAGAUGAAUUACGGUGAAAGCCGUAAGCCGCAAGGCAUCUGUGAAGGUGUUGCAUGGUUGUCGUCAGCUCGUGCCGUGAGGUGUCGGCUUAAGUGCCAUAACGAGCGCAACCCUUGUUGUCAGUUACUAACAGGUUCCGCUGAGGACUCUGACAAGACUGCCAUCGUAAGAUGUGAGGAAGGUGGGGAUGACGUCAAAUCAGCACGGCCCUUACGUCCGGGGCUACACACGUGUUACAAUGGGGGGUACAGAGGGCCGCUACCACGCGAGUGGAUGCCAAUCCCCAAAACCUCUCUCAGUUCGGACUGGAGUCUGCAACCCGACUCCAAGAAGCUGGAUUCGGUAGUAAUCGCGCAUCAGCCACGGCGCGGUGAAUACGUUCCCGGGCCU
rnacentral:rRNA from 1 species